rnacentral:rRNA from 1 species
AUGGGGGAGCAAGACCCGCUGCCGCAGCUCCCGCUCGCCCUCCAUCCACCGCAUCUGAUCCCUCCGGCGCCCACUCCCGACCACCGCGCCCUCUCGUUCCUCCCCGACUUCGGCGGCCUCCCCUGGGUCUCCUACGCCGCGGGCUCCCUCCUCGUCGUCUCCCACCUCCCCUCCCCUCCCCGUACCAGCGGAAGCGACACCGUGGAAGACGAAUCCCCAUUCUUCUGCCAAGUCAUCGACCUCCACACCCCUGUGUCCGCCGUCGCCUGGUGCGGCCGCGGGAGAGGCGAGCUCGCCGCCGCGUCCGGCAACUCCGUUUCCGUUUUCCAGCCCUCACCUUCCUCAGGUUCAUUCAGUUGGCUCCUGAGAUGGGUCAUCACCGAGACGUUCACGGUCACCGCCAUCGCCUGGACGGGUUCCGGCGACGGCAUCGUGGUGGUCGGUGGUGGCGUUGCCAUGUGGGCCAGGGUGCAAUCCUCCUGGCAGCUUGCUUGGAGGUCCACACCACAGGUGCCGCAGUCCCUCGUCUCUGCUACCCACUUCGUCCACGCCCCUGUCGUGGCGGCGUCAGCUGCUGCUUCUGUGGAGGGCAAUGUGCCUGUGCUGGUAUUUCUGAAUGAUGCCAAAUUGGGUCUGGAGACUGUUGAGCUUCUGCAUCCUCAGCCCGUUUCCAUGAUCCAGUGGAGGCCUUUGACGUUAUCUGUCGGUGAUCCAUCUGAAGUGAGGAGAGAGAUCCUGAUGACCUGCUGCUUGGAUGGAACUGCUCGGCUAUGGACUGGGGCUGAGGUGACCAGGUCGAAGAAGCAGCCUACUUCGCGAAGAUCUUUCAGCAUCGUUGCAGUGAUUGAGUUGGACAACAUUCUAAAUGGAGUGCUUGGAGUUGACAUAUCUGUGAGAUGGGCAGUAGAAACUGGCAGUGUUGUAUCACGAGAUGAAGAAGCUAAGUUCAAGCUGUUUUCAGGUCAUUCCUGGCAGAACAAGGUUGGCAAAUGUGAGUGGCUGGUCAGUGUUGGCCCUGGGCGUUGUACCAAUUUUUGGGCUGCUCAUUGUCUUGAUGAUGUAUCUCCACCAAGGUACCCUCGGAUUACACUAUGGAAGCAGAGCGAACCACAGGCUUGGGAGGAAUCUGCUAUUAACCCAAAAUCUACAGUACAACCAAUUUUUGUUGAGACUGUAAUAUCACGAAGUAUAUGUUCUGGCCCACCCACAAGAUGCUCUUUGCUUCAUUUGCUGCCUGAUAAUUCAUUCAUUUGGUCUCGCCUGGCUUUUGGUUUAUCAUCAGAUUCUGGGAGUCAUGUUUCAUGCGAUUCUUCUAAGAGCAUCUCAUGCUGUUCAACCAAGACUAUUAAUCAAGUUGGACAUAAGGGUAGUAUCAUACAGGUGUCUGUCCAUCCAUAUAGCUGCGAGAUAGAGCUAGCUGUUUCUAUGGAUUCUAGCAGAAUGCUAUUUGUAUGGUCUCUUUCAACCUUAUCAACUCUCAUAUCGACCUUGCAUGCACCCACUUAUCCUUCAUGGAAGCUCCUGUGCAAAUUUGAUCUGCGUGACAUUUCUUCAGAUGCGCAAUAUUCAUGUCUUUGUUGGGCUCCUUCAGUUUUCCAUGAUAACAGGUUUCUUGUCCUGGGAGGUGAAAAUGGAGCUGAUUUAGUUGUCGUCAGAAUUCCAAAUGAUGGUGUUGUUUCAUGUCACAAGAUGUUCACAGUUCCUUUCCUUGGAGGGAGCAAUGCAGAAGAACCACCUGAUAGCAUUCAUACCAUACCUUUAGCUUCUAACUGUAACAAGUCAUUUUUAAACAACAGUUUCCUAAUUGUGUGCGUAUGGAGGAAGAGCUUUCAAGUUUUAUCAUGGAAAGUAGUCCUGCAUUCAGAAAAUCAUCAUGAAGGAAGGGGGUGUUUAUGUGAAUUUUCUGCCAACUCACUUUCCACUGCAGAUCAAGGGAGACAUGUUACUUACGUCCAUGGUGAAAUGUUUGCAGCUGCUAUUUAUGAAGGUUCUACGGUUUUCCCUACUGUCGUGGAUGGACAAUAUCCCACCUGCAUUUCGGUUAUGUCUCUGGACAAUACUGUAUUACCUCUACAACAGCAUGUACCUUUUGCAACUUCCCCAGGUUAUCAUAUUGCUACUGGGUACUCUGAUGGCACUGUUAAACUUUGGAAGAUGUCUGGUGCAGAUAACCCUUUGCAGACUGGGAGAGGGAGCAACAGCUGGGAGCUAGUUGGCAUGUUUGGAGCUCAUCCAGGACCAAUUAGUGCAAUUUCACUAUCCAGAUGUGGUAGAGUUGCUACUGUUGGCAGAAAUGUUCAGAAGAAUAGUACAUCCAUUCAUAUCUGGGAAGCAGUAAAACUCAUGGGAGAUGGGUGUUUUCUCUUGGAAGAUGCACUAAUGAUUCAAAGCGCUGUUGUUGGUUUAGAUUGGCUAUCUUUAGGCAAUGGUAGAUUUUUACUUGCGGUCUGUUUUCGUAAUAAGUUGCACAUAUAUUCCCAUAAGCAUCCUUCCUUUCAGAAUGUGCUGCACACUGCAAAUUUGGAAGAGAAGCAUCUUUGGAGUUGUAUUGCAUUAGCUCAUUCUCAUCAUGAUGUUGCCAGCUUCUGCUGGGGGCCAAAGGCGUCAAUAGUGCUUGUUCAUAACAAUCAUCUUUCACUGUUCAGUUCAUGGUUAGUAAGAGGAGCAAAUGAACGUAUUACCCAGAAAGGCAUUUGUUCUGCCACAGAUGUGCAUGAUAAGUUGCCAUGUACUGUGCAUGUUAAUGAAACUAUCUUUGGUAAAUCUGGGUUAUCUGAAAAUUACAGCAACGCGGAGGCCACUGAGAACAAUAGCACGCUGUUACCAGGCCAACACAAUAGUCAUUGUUCUAAUGGUUUGUGGAACUUGUUGGAUAUAUCUAGUAAUCUGAGUGGACCUUUGGCGCCAUAUCACCCAAGAGCACUUAUCCAUCAUCUUUAUUCAGGUGAAUGGAAACGUGCAGAUGGCAUUCUGCAGCAUCUUGUUGAAUCCAUGAAAGCAAGUACAACAUUAAACACCUUGUUGGACUGUAGUUCAUGCAGUAAAUCAUGCCAGAAUAUCCCUGAACUUCCUUUGUCGCGGUACUUUACGCAUACACCGUCAAGCGAUAUUUCUAGCAAAGGAUUACUGUGGGGUGAGAAUGGAAGUAGCACAGCCUUCAACUUGCUGUCACCAUCAAAUUCAUUUUCUUACAUGACGAGUAAGUUAGGUAUCAAUACCACCACUAGUGCAUCUGAAAGGUCAGAGAUAAGUCAGCUCCUUGAUAAGAACUUUGGCAUGUUUGCAAUAAGUGACACUGAAAAAAUACAGAUACAUGCAGUUUCUGAUCUUUUGGGUGAAAUUACUGAUCAGAACCGUGCUUCUCCCUAUAAAACCCUUGAUGAAGCAGGGCGAAGGUUCUGGAUUGCUGUGCAGUUCCAACGCCUAUAUGUGCCUAGGAGAUCUGGAGAUUCAUCUAGUGCUGAAGGGUGCCAUCUUGAUUCUGCUUCCAUUGCAUGGGCCUUCCAAUCUGAUUGUCAGGAUGAUCUACUUGAUUAUGUUCUUCCAGCAGAAUCGACUUGGUUAGAGAUGCAAAACCUCGGUAUGGGAUUAUGGUAUACGAAUGUGUCCCAGCUAAGGACCAGGAUGGAGAAGUUGGCAAGGUUGCAGUAUCUUAAAAGCAAGGAUCCCAAGGAUUGUGCUCUGCUCUAUAUAGCAUUAAACAGAAUAAAAGUAUUAGUUGGCCUUUUCAAGGUCAGCAGAAAUGAGAAGGAUAAACGUCUGUAUGAGUUUCUCUGCAGGAACUUCCAGGAAGAAAAAAACAAAGCCGCUGCUCUUAAAAAUGCUUAUGUACUACUGGGAAGGCAUCAAUGGGAGCUUGCUAUAGCAUUUUUCGUGCUUGGAGGUGAUACUUCCUCUGCCAUCAAUGUUUGUGCGAAGAACCUUCAAGAUGAACAGCUUGCUAUGGUAAUUUGUCGGCUUGUUGAGGGAUCUGGAGGGCCCUUGGAGCGUAACCUCAUUUCAAAUGUGCUGCUCCCUGAUGCAGUUGAGAAAGGAGACCACUGGCUUUCAAGCCUGCUUGAAUGGAUGCUAGGGAACUACUCCCAGUCUGUCAGUAAAUUAUUUGGCUGCCAUCCCAAGUUACUGUUUGAUGAAUCCGACACUCAUGGUGGUCAGAAUGUGUUUGCAGACCCAGAAUUGGGUCAGUAUUGUGCAAUCCUAUCAACGAAAAAUAGUUUCAGAAACUGUGCUGGUGAAGCUCUAUCUGCAAAAUUGUCUAAGCUUUCAUUUGCACUGGCUGCAUGUGCCUUAAACAGAUGUGGACUACCUCUUGAAGCACUUGAAUGCCUAUCUUGUAAAUCGAGCAUAGUUGAGAAGGACGGCACCAGCUCACAACAUGGUGCAGAUGACAAGAUUCUUGAUGGAAUACUAAAACCUUUCAAUGCUUCUUCCAAUUGGCUUUCAUCAUCUGUCGUUGAUGAUGUUGAAUCAGAACUCAAAGUAACCAUGGCUUCAAAUUAUUUGUCACGCAUGCUGAGAAAUCACUUUCUCUGUGCACAUUGCGGUCUACCAUUAGCUAAAGAUAAGGUCCUUAAAGAGCACAACAGCCAUGGCAUCGAGGAACUUGCGCGUGAUGUUAGUGCUGCAAUAUCCAUAUUUGAUAAAAGGUUCUCACUUCAGUUUUAUGAUGUAGCUGAGAAGAUCCUUACCUCCUGUUCUCAUGAUGGUUUAUUAUUUCUUGCACAUGUUCUGCUAUCAGUUUGUAGAUCACCAGAUGGUGGAACUAAUAGUCAUUGUCUUGAAGGUUGCGCUUCCCGUUCGAUUGACUAUCUGUUGUUGGUGUCAUGCAAGGAGAGUUUUAAAUUUCUUACUCGAUAUGUUGUCUCCUGCUGCUUCAUCUGUUCUGUUCUUAAUACAGACCUCACCAAUAUUACUGCAUGUACACCUUUGGAAAACAUGAAAUAUAUUAUAGCAACUUUAUCACAUUAUCUGAGUACUAGCAGGCUACUCCUGAAACAUGACCUCAGUAGAACUUCUGCAUUGGACAAGACAUCAGCCAUAUCUACUGUUAUUGAUCUCCUUGAUUACAACAUAGCCUUUUCUGUUUCGUGGCUAUGCCAUGACAUAAAGGCAUUACUUAUCAUGAGCAAUCCAGUGUUAGGUGCUUCUGCGAAUGAUGAGUCAUUUCAAGUAUUAUUAGACCGAUUGAUGCAAGCUGCGCACCAUAAAAGUCAUGGUAUAUCAAUUAACACAGAGGCAGUAAUGCCCAAUGGUUCAUUGGACAAGAGACAACCAGGAGGAAGUGAGGAUUCAAGUCUUUCAAUUGAUGAAAAGUGGCAUUUGAUAGGUGCUUCCUUGUGGAUUGGAUUGUCAUCCUUUAUGAAACAUCUCUUAAAAGAGUUCAUUGGAAACGAGAAACUUGAAUGUGAAGCUUGUACAAGUGACGUGAAGGAAUUUAAGGGUCUUGCCUCUUCAGUUGCUGCAAAGUUUGUUAUUGAUUCCCUGCAAUUUGUGUCGUCUUCAUUAGUAAGACUCCAUGCAUCAUUUUUCAGAGACAAAUUAUCAAAUAAUUUACAUCCGAGUGUGCUUUUCUGGUUAGAAUAUAUGUCGUCUCAGCCAAGGUCCAACAAGACUAGCCGUGAUCAGCUCGCAUAUAUAGCUCAGGGCACAAACACUGAGAACAUGGAGGUGUUGUUUCAUGUUUUGUGGGAAAUAUCUGCUAACUCUGUGGAUAUAUGUGCAGCAUUUGUGAAUGAAGACGUGAAUUGCUUUCCGUUAAACAACACAAAGCUCAGUAGAUCUUGGAAGAAUAUGGUUGAAAGUACAAAAGUUGAGUGUGAAAACGAUUCUACUCAAAGUAAUGGAGGAGAAAAUAAAUGCAGUGUUAGCUCCAAGGACAAUGAGAAAGGGCGUGGAUUUGUUGACAAGGCUUCUUCUGAUGUGGAAACCUCUCUUGAACCUAAAAGGAAAUGCCUGAUCGAAGAAAAAGGCUUUCAAAGCCCAAAGGAACUUCUAAGGAGAAAUGGGGAACUUCUUGAGGCAAUAUGUCUCGACUCAACCAAUGAGCAACAUGCUGCUAUUGCUACCAACCGAAAGGGUCUUGUUUUUUUCAACUGGUAUGGUAAUCAACAGGAUAAGAAAUCAGCAGAGUAUAUUUGGUCAGGAUCUGAGUGGCCAUCAGAUGGUUGGGCUUGUUCUGAAACUACACCUGCUGCAACUCUUAUUUCACCUAGUGUUGGUCCUGGCAGAAGAAGAGGAUCUCAUCUUGGUUCAGAUGGGGCAAAUAUUGGUGUAGGUUCUUUGGCGAAACCUGGAAGAGACUUAACUGGGGGUGGAGCAUUUGGAAUUCCAGGUUAUGCUGGUAUUGGGGCAUCAGGGUUUGGGUGGGGCGAACCCGACGAAUUUGAGGAUUUUGUUGAUCCUCCAGCAACCCUUGAGAAUAUCCAUUCAAGAGCACUAUCACGCCAUCCCUCUUUGCCAUUGUUGCUAGUGGGGUCAAGCAAUACACAUGUGUAUUUAUGGGAGUUUGGUAAAGAUAGUGCAAGAGCUACAUAUGGUGUUCUCCCUGCUGCUAAUAUUCCACCACCUUAUGCACUUGCUUCCAUAUCGGCUGUUCAAUUUGAUUAUUACGGGCAGCGGUUUGCAACUGCUGCAUUAGAUGGUACAGUUUGUACAUGGCAAGUUGAGGUGGGUGGAAGAAGCAAUGUCCAUCCUACAGAGUCAUCCUUGUGCUUUAACAGCCAUGCUUCUGAUGUUGCGUAUGUGGAUGCAAGUGGAUCUGUUCUUACUGCAGCUGGAUGCAAUUCAAAUGGCGCAAAUGUUGUUAUCUUGGAUAUGCUAGCUCCACCAGCCACUUGUCAAACUUCUAUUGUGUGUCAUGAAGGAGGAGCCCGUUCUCUUUCUGUGUUCGACAACAACAUAGGCUGUGGAUCCAUCUCACCGCUGAUUGUAACUGGUGGGAAAAGUGGAGAUGUGGCAUUGCAUGAUUUCCGGUUCGUUUCUACUGGAAAGAGUAAGCAUCACAAAACUUCUGCUGGGGGUAGCUCCCGUGGGAUGAUUUGGCAUAUACCGAAGGCUCAUUUAGGGAGUGUCACCAGUCUAUCGACCAUUCCAGAUACCACCUUAUUCUUGACUGGAAGCAAAGAUGGAGAUGUAAAGCUUUGGGAUGCUAAAAAUUCCCAGCUAGUCUUUCAUUGGCCGAAGUUGCAUGAGCGGCACACUUUUUUUCAACCAACCUCCAGGGGCUUUGGUGGUGUUGUUAGGGCUGCUGUAACAGAUAUCCAUGUCUUGACUAAUGGUUUCGUUUCGUGUGGUGGCGAUGGUUCUGUGAAGCUUGUGCAGAUAAAGAAUGAGUUUGCCACAGUACAUCAGGACUAG